rnacentral:rRNA from 1 species
CAGUCGUACCGGCGGAUAAUCAGCCUUUCGGGUGCGAUUCUGUGGGGCGUGAGGAGUUUAAUCACCCUCAUGUUUUACGUAUUCGUGCUCUUGGGUGUACUUGCCCGUGUGGUAGGUUAACAUCAAUUUUGGUGAUCAUAAAAUGACUAGAGGAAUGUAGCUUCGAUCUCGUAUUGAAGUGUUAUAGCCUUUGGUAGAUGUGAUGAUCGGGAUUGAGGAUUGCAACGGAUACCCCUUCGGGGGCUACCCGGUCUGAUCUCUGAAGGUUGCUCCGGUGCCGAAAGCGUGCUUACGGUCAUCGAAAGUGAUUUUCAAAAGGUUAGAACGGGUUAAAUUCGUUAAGGAUGUUGACGUAAUGGCUUUAAACGUCCCGUCUUGAGACACGGACCAAGGAGUCUAACGAUAUGUGCGAGUGUU